rnacentral:tRNA from 1 species
GCUCGGUAGCUUAGUUGGUAAAGCACUCGUCUAGCAUACAAGAGUCGUGGUUGCGAAUCCCGCUGAGCA